UAUCAACGACAGCGGAUUCUGCAAAAGAAUCCGCUGCGUAUCCUCUGAAGAGGAGUCCAAAUUCGAGAUUUUUGAUCACGGGAAGUAGCUUCAAGUCUCUAGGUUACAGCUAUCGUAUGGGGUUUAGUACAGUGCGCUCUAUAGUACAUGAAACUUGCCAAGUCAUUUGGAAUGUCCUAAGGCCUAGUGUUAUGCCAAAACCAACAAGGGAAAAAUGGACGCGAAUCGCGAUGGAAUUUGAUGAAAAAUGGAAUUUCCCGAACUGCAUCGGUGCAAUAGAUGGUAAACAUUUUAGGAUAAGGGCACCUCGCAAUAGUGGAAGUCUCUACAUGAACUAUAAAAAGUUUUUUAGUAUCGUGCUACUAGCGGUUGUGGAUGCAAAUUAUAAAUUUGUGAUUGCAGAUGUAGGAUCAUAUGGACGAAAUAGUGAUGGAGGUAUAAUGCAAAACUCAAUAUUUGGAAAAAAAUUGACUUCUAAUGCCCUCGAUAUUCCCCCAAAAAAACGUUUACCGAGGACAGAUCUUGAGUUGCCCUAUGUUUUUAUAGCAGACGAGGCUUUUCCGUUAACCACAAACAUUAUGAGACCAUUUAGUAGCGACCGAUUGACAGAUGAAGCAAUGAAAAUAUACAAUUAUCGUUUGAGUAGAGCCAGGCGUAUCGUCGAAAAUGCAUUUGGUAUACUUCAAGAACGUUUCGAAUUAUGUCAAAAAGGAAUUCAGGUUCAACCAAAAUAUAUUGAUAAUAUCAUUUUAGCAUGUACUUGCUUACACAAUUUCAUCAUAGGUGGUACAAGCACAGAAAGUCAAAGUAUAGCAAGUGUAAGCAUUAAUUUAGAAAACGAUAAUAAUAUGAACAAUGCAUUAGAUGGUACGACAGUACGGGAGAUGUUUAAAGAUUACUUUAACUCUGAUGAGGGCUCGAUUCCAUGGCAAAACGAUAUUGUAAAUAGACAUUAAUACCGUGUGAAGUAUUAAAAUAUAAUUAUAUUGCAAAAAUA
rnacentral:misc_RNA from 1 species